rnacentral:rRNA from 1 species
AGGGUUUGAUCAUGGCUCAGGAUGAACGCUGGCGGCGUGCUUAACACAUGCAAGUCGAGCGAAGCACUUAAGAAAGAUUCUUCGGAUGAAUUCUUUGGUGACUGAGCGGCGGACGGGUGAGUAACGCGUGGGUAACCUGCCUCAUACAGGGGGAUAACAGUUAGAAAUGACUGCUAAUACCGCAUAAGCGCACAGUGCUGCAUGGCACGGUGUGAAAAACUCCGGUGGUAUGAGAUGGACCCGCGUUGGAUUAGGCAGUUGGCGGGGUAACGGCCCACCAAACCAACGAUCCAUAGCCGGCCUGAGAGGGUGAACGGCCACAUUGGGACUGAGACACGGCCCAA